UACGUAGGGGGCAAGCGUUGUCCGGAAUUAUUGGGCGUAAAGAGCGCGUAGGCGGUCCGGUAAGUCGGUUGUGAAAGUCGGGGGCUCAACCCUCGGAUGCCGAUCGAUACUGCCGGGCUAGAGUCCGGAAGAGGCGAGUGGAAUUCCUGGUGUAGCGGUGAAAUGCGCAGAUAUCGGGAGGAACACCAAUGGCGAAGGCAGCUCGCUGGGACGGUACUGACGCUGAGGAGCGAAAGCGUGGGGAGCAAACAGG
rnacentral:rRNA from 1 species